AGCAGCCGCGGUAAUUCCAGCUCCAAUAGCGUAUAUUAAAGUUGUUGCAGUUAAAAAGCUCGUAGUUGAAUUUCGGGAUCAAUGGGUUGGUCAUGCCCUCGGUAUGUACUGAUUUCAUUGGUUCUCACCUUCUAAGGAACCAUGAUGUCAUUUAUUUGAUGUUGUGGGAAAUUAGGACUGUUACCUUGACAAAAUUAGAGUGUUUAAAGCAGGCUAACGCUUGAAUACAUUAGCAUGGAAUAAUGAAAUAGGACAUCCGAUUCUAUUUUGUUGGUUUCUAGGAUCGAUGUAAUGAUUAAUAGGGAUAGUUGGGGGCAUUAGUAUUCAAUUGUCAGAGGUGAAAUUCUUGGAUUUAUUGAAGACUAACUACUGCGAAAGCAUUUGCCAAGGAUGUUUUCAUUAAUCAAGAACGAAAGUUAGGGGAUCGAAGACGAUCAGAUACCGUCGUAG
rnacentral:rRNA from 1 species